UACGGAUGUGUCCAUCGCCUUCUCUAACCCUAACCACAUUGUCGCUCUCUCUAUUGCGCUUUCUGCUGUUUUGUUAACCAGUUUUCAGCAGGAAAGGGAGGUGCAAAAUUACAAAAAGCUGGUCCGUCGGUCAAAAGCUACCAGCUGUAAGUUGUCUUGUUAUGCAUUUAAUACUCAGCCGGUGAGUCGACGCCCGGUUGGGUGUUGGUGUUCAAUUGACAAGAACGACUUAUGGCCGUGCAUAGAUAAAAU
rnacentral:telomerase_RNA from 1 species